rnacentral:rRNA from 1 species
AACGAACGCUGGCGGCAUGCCUAACACAUGCAAGUCGAACGAAGCCUUCGGGCUUAGUGGCGCACGGGUGCGUAACGCGUGGGAAUCUGCCUCUUGUUUCGGAAUAACAGUUAGAAAUGACUGCUAAUACCGGAUGAUGUCCCCCUGAGAGAUCUUGGGGACCAAAGAUUUAUCGGCAAGAGAUGAGCCCGCGUAGGAUUAGGUAGUUGGUGGGGUAAAGGCCUACCAAGCCGACGAUCCUUAGCUGGUCUGAGAGGAUGAUCAGCCACACUGGGACUGAGACACGGCCCAGACUCCUACGGGAGGCAGCAGUGGGGAAUAUUGGACAAUGGACGCAAGUCUGAUCCAGCAAUGCCGCGUGAGUGAUGAAGGCCUUAGGGUUGUAAAGCCCUUUUACCAGGGAUGAUAAUGACAGUACCUGGAGAAUAAGCUCCGGCUAACUCCGUGCCAGCCGCCGCCGUAACAC